rnacentral:lncRNA from 1 species
UCUACUUAGUCAUCACAACUUUCCCCCAAUCAUUAUGGAAUUUGCAAACAUUAAUUCUUUUUUUUUUUGUCAUUAGCCAUGUUGACUAGUUCCUCUGCCUACAUAUUUUCCUUUUUAGACCCAAACAUUAUAACCUUUGCCUUUUGAGCCCUCCAAGAGUAUCUCUUCCCACUAUAUUUUCUAAAUAGAUUAUACUCUUUUGCAGUAAUUUCUAUUAUCUAUUUCACAGAGGAGAAUGCUGGUGAGGCUCAAAGAGCUUCAAUUACUUGCCUCAGAAAUGACAGGAUGGACCUUGUUCAACCCAGUGAUGUCUUCAUAAUCCACAAUUGCCAAGUUGAUGCUCCAUCAUUACCUUGAGUUUUGAUGCUCCUUUGAUAUGCCAUAACCCAACAGACUGUCAGAAAAAAAUGGAAAGCCUGGAACUGCUCACCUACUAGAGGUAGGGCUUACGUUUCUGUGGCAACCUCGUAUUUUUUUCUCUGAUAGGUUUCCCCUGUCUGUUUGUGAGUGACACAUGGUUCUAGGAAGUAACUCUUCGUAAAAGAUAGUCAUUAAGAUAGCAGGCAAGUUCAUUUUCCCUAGUUACACUUAGCUGGACAGUCUUGUUCCCAGCCUAUGUACUCAUUUAUGCACUUAAUAUAAGAUGUAUAUAUACAUGUUAAUGUCUAUUCAUUUGUAUGAAUUUAAUGCUUUAUAAUAUUGAGGUGCUUUGUUUUUUUAAAGAAAAUCUGAUUACAGUCAGAUGAACAUCAGUAUGUGGAAUCAAGAUUUUAGAAAAUUCAUCUCAGUCGGACAACUUCUCUUAUCUUGAUGACCUUUGUGGAUUUUACAAGAUGUCUUUUCCUUCCCUAAUACCAUAAACUUACCUUGUAAUUCUUCAGUCUGUGAGAUGUAAAAUAUAAAGUCUAUUGUUAAAACUCCAUUUAAACAUCCCACAGUUUAUUUCACACUGCUAAAAUAAUUCUUUUUUUUUUUUUUUUCAGAGAUAAGGUAUCCUGGGAGUGGAGAAAGGGCAGGUUAAUACAUGUUGUCUGCAUGUAACAUUUUUUAAAAAUAUUUGAGGUAAGGAUCUGAUAAUGUUUUUUACCUUUACCACACUUGUUAGGAUUUUCCCUGAACUUAUGAUUUCCUGAAAUUCGAAAUCCAAUUGAAUUUUCAUAGAUAUCUCCUUGAUGAUUAAAUUGAUGUUGUCUUUAAAUAAGACUCUAGCUACCGCCUUAACAUAAGGAUGGAAUUCUUGCCCCCUGCUUUGUAUUUGUUAAU